AUGCAGCCCUGCAGCCUUUCCGGAGCCCUUACCUAGGUUCCAGCCCCUUUGAACUUUACAAGAAAACAUAUGACUCUCUCCAGUAUCCAGUCAAAGAAUGGCAGGACAUUUUUUGGGUGAGGAAGCCCGUCCACGUCUCUGGCUACAUCGGCAUGGUGGAGUCUUUCUCCACUUUCCAGACAUUCUUAAAAAAAAUAUCCAGAAGAGGCCAGAUGACUCUCACAGGACAUUGAACAAAGACUGUUGCGUGCAAUGGGCGUGACAUCCUCGGAGACAGAAGUUAUCAUGGAAGUUAAAUACUUCUAUUUUAUAGCCUACAAGCCGGCAAAUGACUGAGUCAAAUAUUGUCAUCAAUGGAAAGCUUAUGAUGUAAAAUCUCAAUUUCAAAAAAUUGACCCUUAUGACUGGUUUUGUGGUCCACGGUUGGUCACAUAUUCGAGAAUGAUCAACUGAGUUUCUAAAUUCCAUAACCACCAGGUUUCAUAACCAUCAAAUAAAAA